ACCUAACUGAGGAGUCCCAAAUAAGACGAAACACACGUUCUAGAU
rnacentral:hammerhead_ribozyme from 1 species